rnacentral:rRNA from 1 species
UACGUAGGGGGCAAGCGUUGUCCGGAAUCAUUGGGCGUAAAGAGCGCGCAGGCGGUCGUUCAAGUCGAGUGUGAAAGCCCCCGGCUCAACUGGGGAGGGUCAUUCGAUACUGAUCGACUUGAAGGCAGGAGAGGGAAGCGGAAUUCCCGGUGUAGUGGUGAAAUGCGUAGAUAUCGGGAGGAACACCAGUGGCGAAGGCGGCUUCCUGGCCUGUUCUUGACGCUGAGGCGCGAAAGCUAGGGGAGCAAACGGG